rnacentral:rRNA from 1 species
AGCGAACGCUGGCGGCAGGCCUAACACAUGCAAGUCGAACGAACCUUUCGGGGUUAGUGGCGGAAGGGUGAGUAACACGUGAGAACGUGCCUUUAGGUUCGGAAUAACUCAGGGAAACUUGUUCUAAUACCGAAUGUGCCCUUCGGGGGAAAGAUUAAUCGCCUUUAGAGCGGCCCGCGUCUGAUUAGCUAGUUGGUUGAGGUAAUGGCUCACCAAGGCGACGAUCAGUAGCUGGUCUGAGAGGAUGAUCAGCCACAUUGGGACUGAGACACGGCCCAAACUCAUACGGGAGGCAGCAGUGGGGAAUCUUGCGCAAUGGGCGAAAGCCUGACGCAGCCAUGCCGCGUGAAUGAUGAAGGUCUUAGGAUUGUAAAAUUCUUUCACCGGGGACGAUAAUGACGGUACCCGGAGAAGAAGCCCCGGCUAACUUCGUG